UACGUAGGGUGCGAGCGUUGUCCGGAAUUAUUGGGCGUAAAGGGCUCGUAGGCGGUUUGUCGCGUCGGGAGUGAAAUCCACUGGCUUAACUGGUGGCUUGCCUUCGAUACGGGCAGACUGGAGGUAUGCAGGGGAGAACGGAAUUCCUGGUGUAGCGGUGAAAUGCGCAGAUAUCAGGAAGAACACCCGUGGCGAAGGCGGCUCUCUGGGACGGUACUGACGCUGAGACGCGAAAGCGUGGGGAGCGAACAGG
rnacentral:rRNA from 1 species